AGACUCCUACGGGAGGCAGCAGCUAAGAAUCUUCCGCAAUGGACGAAAGUCUGACGGAGCGACGCCGCGUGAACGAAGAAGGCCGUGAGGUUGUAAAGUUCUUUUCUUGUGGAGGAAUAAUGUAAGGAGUGACUGCCUUACGGAUGACGUUAAACAAGGAAUAAGCCCCGGCUAAUUACGUGCCAGCAGCCGCGGUAACACGUAAGGGGCAAGCGUUGUUCGGAAUUAUUGGGCGUAAAGGGCGCGUAGGCGGUUUGUAAAGUCUGGUGUGAAAGACCACAGCUCAACUGUGGGAACGCAUUGGAAACUGACAGACUAGAGUAUAGGAGGGGAAGCUGGAAUUCCUGGUGUAGGGGUGAAAUCUGUAGAUAUCAGGAAGAACACCGGUGGCGAAGGCGAGCUUCUGGCCAUAUACUGACGCUGAGGCGCGAAAGCGUGGGGAGCGAACAGGAUUAGAUACCCUGGUAGUCCACGCUGUAAACGAUGUGCACUAGGUGUCGGUCCGGUUGAGCUAUUAACCUGAAGGUUGAUGGUUGAAUCGGAUCGGUGCCGCAGCAAACGCAUUAAGUGCACCGCCUGGGGAGUAUGCCCGCAAGGGUGAAACUCAAAGGAAUUGACGGGGGCCCGCACAAGCGGUGGAGCAUGUGGUUUAAUUCGAUGAUACGCGAGGAACCUUACCAGGGCUUGACAUAUACAGGAAUGGUAUAGAGAUAUAUCAGCUGCUUGCAGUCUGUAUACAGGUGCUGCAUGGUUGUCGUCAGCUCGUGCUGUGAAGUGUUGGGUUAAGUCCCGCAACGAGCGCAACCCCUGCUGUCUGUUGCUAACAUUCAGUUGAGGACUCAGACGGUACUGCCGGUGACAAACCGGAGGAAGGUGGGGACGACGCCAAAUCAUCAUGGCCCUUAUGUCCUGGGCUACACACGUGCUACAAUGGUCGGUACAGAGUGAAGCGAAGCGGCGACGUGGAGCAAAUCGCAGAAAGCCGGCCUCAGUUCGGAUUGAAGUCUGAAACUCGACUUCAUGAAGGUGGAAUCGCUAGUAAUCGCGCAUCAGCAUGGCGCGGUGAAUACGUUCCCGGGCCUUGUACACACCGCCCGUCACACCACCCGAGUUGGGGGUACCCGAAGUCGCUAGUCUAACCAGCAAUGGAGGACGGUGCCGAAGGUAUGCCUGGUAAGGGGGGUGAAGUCGUAACAAGGUA
rnacentral:rRNA from 1 species